AAAACUUAGUAAGCCAAAGAGUAAAUCAAAUAGAAUAACUAAUAAGAACAAAAAGUUGGUAGUAAUUUACAUACUGCUUUCUAUACAUUAUCCUCCACUACUGUAAACAUCUGAAGCUGGCAGUAACAAAUCAAUCAACCGAAGUGUGUGUGAGUGACAUAGUCAACACAUCAUAACAAGAUUUCUAAAUGCGCAUAGUCUCCAUUCAUAAGGUCCACUCAAAGUACCUCUAAAUUUGUUCACUGCCGUUCUCCGUGCACUUUCCUCUACUUCUAUUAACCCAACAUUGGGCACAACUAUGUAAAUAUGUACAGUUCCACUAGAAUGUACAGGUCCAAGUUGCCAGUUCUUAUCAAUGAAAUGGAACCUCUUCUAACAUCUAAUUUUUGGAAGGUAAAUAUCCAAGUUAAUACAUUUAAGAUUCCAAGUAAAUAUAGAAUCUAUAGAAGUACGAC
rnacentral:lncRNA from 1 species